rnacentral:rRNA from 1 species
CAGAGUUAUACAACUCCCACACCAUUUGCCAACUUUACUCAGUUAUGCCUCGGCGUAAGCUCCGUACGGGGCUGCCGGGUUGCGCUGCGGGCGACAGCUACCCUGUAGCUUACCCUGUAGCGCUACCCUGUAGCGUUACCCUGCGGCGGCCCGCCGGUGGAAACGAAACUCUUGUUUUAUUGUAUCUUCUGAGCGUCUUAUUUUAAUAAGUUAAAACUUUCAACAACGGAUCUCUUGGUUCUGGCAUCGAUGAAGAACGCAGCGAAAUGCGAUAAGUAAUGUGAAUUGCAGAAUUCAGUGAAUCAUCGAAUCUUUGAACGCACAUUGCGCCCAUCAGUAUUCUGGUGGGCAUGCCUGUUCGAGCGUCAUUUCAACCCUUAAGCCUAGCUUAGUGUUGGGAAUCGACCGUAGGGUCGUUCCUUAAAGACAGUGGCGGAGCGGCAGUGGUCCUCUGAGCGUAGUAAAUUUAUUUCUCGCUUUUGUCAGGCCCUGUCCUCCCGCCAUAAAACCCCCAAUUUUUUAGUG